GGAUUUUCAUUAGAUAAUAAUAUUUAGCGUAUGUUCUGCUGUAGGGUAGUAUAAUUCAGCCGUAAGGAAUUGUCACUCGUAGGAUGAAAUUUGACUUUGGAUUGUCAGGACCCUCCUAGAUAAUGAGACGUACCUUUAAGAUCUAAAUAGAUAUAAGAUAUAUUGCAAGUUGUACCUUUAGAAGAUAUAGCUUAGUGUUAAAGCUGUCGUUUGUUAAGAGUUGUCAGGUCCCUCCUAGAUAGCCUUAAUAUUUCCCUGAUUACAAGAUGUGGUGAAAGUUGUAUCUUUAGAAGAUAUAGCUUAGUGUUAAUAUUGUCGUCA
rnacentral:lncRNA from 1 species